ACUUGAAUGAUCGUUGUGAGAAACUUGAUCCUACCUUUGAUAUUCUACAAUGGUGGAAACAUAAUGGAUUCAAGUAUCCAAUAGUUGCGCGCAUGGCAAAAGAUGUAUUGGCUGUUCAGAUGUCUACAGUAGCAUCUGAAUCAGCUUUUUCUACUGGGGGAAGAAUCCUAGAUUCAUUUAGGAGUUCCUUAUCCCCGAGGAUGGUGGAGGCUUUGAUUUGUUCUAAAAAUUGGUAUACUUGUGAGUCUGAAGAGCCUGUUGUGCUUCGACAAUACAUGGAUGAGAUUGAUGGUUUAGAGGCAUGUGAACAAGUUUUUCUAGGUGAUGGCUCGUGUAUUACCUAUGUACUUGAGAAUCUUGGCAGUGGGUCUGGGAGUGGGACCGAUAAGAACAAUUGAAAUCUCAAGGAGCAGGUGGUCAUGGUUGCUUGAUGCAGGCCAUGAAAUGAAUGAAUGCUAGAUUUUGGAUUGGACUUUGUUUUCUAUCUAUUCUUUUGAAAUUUGAACUUGAUUUGUGUUGUUGUAGUCGAUUAGACUUAGAUUUAAUUUGUGUUGUGAUGGACUAUGGACUAUGGACUUUGGACUUUGGACUUUAAGUUUAAACUUUAAUCAUGUGUUGAGAUUUGUGGUUGUAGUCUUUUGGUUUUAAAUUUUAAUUGGGUUGUGUCUUGGAUUGAACUAAUAGAUAUUGGAGUAUUAGACUUUUGAUGA